rnacentral:misc_RNA from 1 species
GCGACAGUAACGGUGGUGAGCGUCGAUCAUUGAGAUACGGGACAUUUCGUACGCGCGUCAAUAAAUCGCUCGACAUGAAGUUGUUUGUGGUAGCUGUGUGCGCGUGUCUUGCUUUGGUAGCAGCCGCCGUGCCUCAAAAGAGAUUCGGAGUGCCGCUAAGCGCUGAGGAUGAUUGCAACCCCAACAUAAGAGCCAGGAAUUUCUCGGCCGAUCCUAAUGACUGCCAAGUGUUCUACAUCUGCGACAACGGAUGGCCAAAGAUCUCCUUCUGUCCGGGCGUGACCGUCUGGACGCCGGCCGCGGAGCGAUGCUUGAACAGGCACGAGGCCGAGAACGCCGUCUGUCAGUUUGUCUACGUUCCCGAGGCGGUCGAAAUCGGCGUCGGUCUCGCUCCCGUCGAUGAGACGUGCGACUUUCAGUGCGAGGAUAACAGCGGCUGCAUCGCCCGCCGCGCACAGUGCGACGGCAUCUCACACUGCCGCGACGGCUCGGACGAGCGCGACUGUGCACCACCAUGCGAUCUUGAUCGGUGCAGACUACCUGACUGUAAGUGCAGCGAUACUCUCAUUCCCGGCGGACUCCUGGCCAGCCAAGUACCUCAGUUAGUGAUGAUUGGUUGGGAUGAGGCGGUCCGUGUGGAGGAUUACAACCAUCUUUACCAGCAGAUUUUCAAGAAGCUGUCGUCAGCUAGACGCAGGGAGCCGCGCAGGAACGCCGAUGGCUGCCCGAUGACGGGAACCUUCUUCGUUAGCCAUCAGUUCACGGACUACGCUGCCGUGAAUGCUCUAUACGCCGAAGGAAACGAAAUAGCUACUCACUCCGUCAGUAAGCAGCUGCCGGCCGAGUACUGGCGUGACAGCGAACGCCGCGUGUGGCACGAGGAGUUCGUCACAAUGCGUCUGCUGCUCAACCAGCUCGGCAACGUGAAGGCGGAGGACAUUGUCGGCAUGCGCGCCCCCUACCUGCAGACGGCUGGCGACGACACGAUCAUCAUGGCGCAGCGCAACAACUUCCUCUAUGAUUCGUCGUACGCCACCGACAGGAACGACUACCCGAUCUGGCCGUACACGUUCGACUACCGCUCGACCGCCGGCUGCGCCGUGGAGCCGUGCCCGCUGCAGUCGCUGCCAGGCGUCUGGGAGAUCCCGCUAGUUGACUGGAUCGACACGAACAACACACUGUGCGAGAACGUCGACAGCUGCUACUUCCCGGAGACGAAGCAGGAGGCGAUGGAGCUGCUCUUCUCCAACUUCGCGCGCCACUACCAGACGAACAAGGCGCCGUUCGCGAUCAAUCUGCGCGCGCGCUGGUUCCUCGACGACGGCAUGCACAACCUGGAAGCGCUGCAGGAUUUCCUCGAGGGCGUCGAGCGCAUGGACGACGUCUACGUGGUGACGUUCGCGCAGGCGCUGCAGUGGGUGCGCGACCCGACGCCGCUCAACGACAUGGACGGCUUCUUCAACUGCGACUACAGAGACCGGACGCCGAUGUGCGAGCACCCGACCCUCUGCGGAUACUACAACAUCACCUAUCAGCCGAACGACGUCGACCACCAGGGCGACCGCUUCUUCAUGACCUGCAACGAGUGUCCGCCGCAGUACCCGUGGGUGAUGCCCAUCGACACUCUACGCGCUCUCGGUCUGUAGACGUGCUCUGCCAUUGACGUGCUCAGCUUAGUCGAUAAACUCUGCUGCUGCUCUUGGUCUGUAGCUUAGAUGCUCGGUGUGUAGAUUGUGUUUUUGGUGUGUACUCCUCGCUAUGCGCUCGGUCUAUAGCUUGUAUGCUUGGCGUGUAGAUUUUGUAUUCGGUGUGCACGUUUUAUGAUCUUGUGUGUGCGCUAGUUUGGUCUGUAGUUUGUGUGCUUGGCAUGCAGGUUGAAUGUUUACAGCAUGGAUUAUGUUAUACCUUUGCGUGCUUUGCUGCUUUGCGUGUAGGUUAUAGAUCGUUUUACGUAAAACAUUGUAGGCCCGAUCUACAUGCCGCGCGCGUGCGUGCGUGCGUGCGUGCGUGCGUGCGCGUGUGUGUGUGUGUGUGUGUGUGCCUGUGU